AGAGUUUGAUCAUGGCUCAGAUUGAACGCUGGCGGCAGGCCUAACACAUGCAAGUCGAGCGGUAGCACAGAGAGCUUGCUCUCGGGUGACGAGCGGCGGACGGGUGAGUAAUGUCUGGGAAACUGCCUGAUGGAGGGGGAUAACUACUGGAAACGGUAGCUAAUACCGCAUAACGUCGCAAGACCAAAGUGGGGGACCUUCUGGCCUCAUGCCAUCAGAUGUGCCCAGAUGGGAUUAGCUAGUAGGUGGGGUAACGGCUCACCUAGGCGACGAUCCCUAGCUGGUCUGAGAGGAUGACCAGCCACACUGGAACUGAGACACGGUCCAGACUCCUACGGGAGGCAGCAGUGGGGAAUAUUGCACAAUGGGCGCAAGCCUGAUGCAGCCAUGCCGCGUGUGUGAAGAAGGCCUUCGGGUUGUAAAGCACUUUCAGCGGGGAGGAAGGCGNCGAUUGACGUUACCCGCAGAAGAAGCACCGGCUAACUCCGUGCCAGCAGCCGCGGUAAUACGGAGGGUGCAAGCGUUAAUCGGAAUUACUGGGCGUAAAGCGCACGCAGGCGGUCUGUCAAGUCGGAUGUGAAAUCCCCGGGCUCAACCUGGGAACUGCAUUCGAAACUGGCAGGCUAGAGUCUUGUAGAGGGGGGUAGAAUUCCAGGUGUAGCGGUGAAAUGCGUAGAGAUCUGGAGGAAUACCGGUGGCGAAGGCGGCCCCCUGGACAAAGACUGACGCUCAGGUGCGAAAGCGUGGGGAGCAAACAGGAUUAGAUACCCUGGUAGUCCACGCCGUAAACGAUGUCGAUUUGGAGGUUGUGCCCUUGAGGCGUGGCUUCCGGAGCUAACGCGUUAAAUCGACCGCCUGGGGAGUACGGCCGCAAGGUUAAAACUCAAAUGAAUUGACGGGGGCCCGCACAAGCGGUGGAGCAUGUGGUUUAAUUCGAUGCAACGCGAAGAACCUUACCUGGUCUUGACAUCCACAGAACUUNNNNNNNNNUUGGUGCCUUCGGGAACUGUGAGACAGGUGCUGCAUGGCUGUCGUCAGCUCGUGUUGUGAAAUGUUGGGUUAAGUCCCGCAACGAGCGCAACCCUUAUCCUUUGUUGCCAGCGGUCCGGCCGGGAACUCAAAGGAGACUGCCAGUGAUAAACUGGAGGAAGGUGGGGAUGACGUCAAGUCAUCAUGGCCCUUACGACCAGGGCUACACACGUGCUACAAUGGCAUAUACAAAGAGAAGCGACCUCGCGAGAGCAAGCGGACCUCAUAAAGUAUGUCGUAGUCCGGAUUGGAGUCUGCAACUCGACUCCAUGAAGUCGGAAUCGCUAGUAAUCGUAGAUCAGAAUGCUACGGUGAAUACGUUCCCGGGCCUUGUACACACCGCCCGUCACACCAUGGGAGUGGGUUGCAAAAGAAGUAGGUAGCUUAACCUUCGGGAGGGCGCUUACCACUUUGUGAUUCAUGACUGGGGUGAAGUCGUAACAAGGUAACCGUAGGGGAACCUGCGGUUGGAUCACCU
rnacentral:rRNA from 1 species